rnacentral:rRNA from 1 species
GCAAGUCGAGCGGACCUUCGGGUCAGCGGCGGACGGGUGAGGAACACGCGAGUGAUCUAUCGAUGAGUGGGGGAUAUCGGGCCGAAAGGCGCGGCAAUCCCGCAUACGUUCCUACGGGAAGAAAGCUGGGCAACUGGCGCUCAUCGCGGAGCUCGCGGCCCAUUAGCUAGUUGGGGGGGUAACGGCCUCCCAAGGCGACGAUGUGUAGCCGGCCUGAGAGGGUGAACGGCCACACUGGGACUGAGACACGGCCCAGACUCCUACGGGAGGCAGCAGUAGGGAAUCUUCCACAAUGGGCGCAAGCCUGAUGGAGCAACGCCGCGUGAGUGAAGACGGCCUUCAGGUUGUAAAGCUCUGUCUGUCGGGACGAAGACCGGGACGGGAGUCCCGGGGAGCCGGUACCGACGAAGGAGGCCCCUGCAAACUACGUGCCAGCAGCCGCGGUAAGACGUAGGGGGCAAGCGUUGUCCGGAAUUACUGGGCGUAAAGGGCGUGUAGGCGGUGCGAUACGUAGUGGAUUUAAGCCCCCGGCUCACCCGGAGGAGGGCGGCUAAACGGUCGCACUGGAGGGCAGGAGAGGUGCGUGGAAUUCCUGGUGGAGCGGUGAAAUGCGUA